AAACAUUCCCCUAUGUAUUGGAUCUUUGGCAGUUUUGGCCCCCAAAUCCACUUUUGACUUAACAUUCGCUGACGUGGCAUCCACAAUGGUCGACACAUGGCACCUCACUUAAGGGAUGUGGGUGCCACGUCAGCGAAUGCUAAGUCAAAAGUGAACUUGGGGGCUAAAACUGCCAAAGAUCCAAUACGUAGGGGGUUGUUU
rfam:Medicago truncatula strain A17 chromosome 3, whole genome shotgun sequence.